GACGAACGCUGGCGGCGUGCUUAACACAUGCAAGUCGAACGGAAAGGCCCUGCUUUUGUGGGGUGCUCGAGUGGCGAACGGGUGAGUAACACGUGAGUAACCUGCCCUUGACUUUGGGAUAACUUCAGGAAACUGGGGCUAAUACCGGAUAGGAGCUCCUGCUGCAUGGUGGGGGUUGGAAAGUUUCGGCGGUUGGGGAUGGACUCGCGGCUUAUCAGCUUGUUGGUGGGGUAGUGGCUUACCAAGGCUUUGACGGGUAGCCGGCCUGAGAGGGUGACCGGCCACAUUGGGACUGAGAUAAGGCACAGACUACUACGGUAGGCAGCAGUGGGGAGUAGUGCACAGGGGGCGGAAGCAUGAUGCAGCAACGCCGCGUGCGGGAUGACGGCAUUCGGGUUGUAAACCGCUUUCGCCUUAGACGAAGCGUGAGUGACGGUAAUGGGUAAAGAAGCACCGGCUAACUACGUG
rnacentral:rRNA from 1 species